rnacentral:rRNA from 1 species
GCCUCAUGUAUCACUGUAGGGGGUAGAGCACUGUUUCGGCUAGGGGGUCAUCCCGACUUACCAAACCGAUGCAAACUCCGAAUACCUACAAGUGCCGAGCAUGGGAGACACACGGCGGGUGCUAACGUCCGUCGUGGAGAGGGAAACAACCCUGACCAACAGCUAAGGCCCCCAAUUCGUGGCUAAGUGGGAAAGGAUGUGGGAAUCCCAAAACAACCAGGAGGUUGGCUUAGAAGCAGCCAUCCUUUAAAGAAAGCGUAACAGCUCACUGGUCUAAACAAGGGUUCCUGCGCCGAAAAUGUAACGAG